rnacentral:rRNA from 1 species
UGACGAGUUUGAUCCUGGCUCAGAUUGAACGCUGGCGGUAUGCCUUACACAUGCAAGUCGAACGGUAGAGGGCAACCCUUGAGAGUGGCGAACGGGUGAGUAAUACAUCGGAACGUGUCCAGUCGUGGGGAUAACGUAGCGAAAGCUACGGCUAAUACCGGCAUACGACCCGAGGGUGAAAGCGGGGACUCGCAAGAGCCUCGCGCGAUUGGAGCGGCCGAUGGCAGAUUAGGUAGUUGGUGGGGUAAAGGCUCACCAAGCCAACGAUCUGUAGCUGGUCUGAGAGGACGACCAGCCACACUGGAACUGAGACACGGUCCAGACUCCUA